rnacentral:rRNA from 1 species
GUGGGGAAUCUUCCGCAAUGGACGAAAGUCUGACGGAGCAACGCCGCGUGAGUGAUGAAGGUCUUCGGAUUGUAAAGCUCUGUUAAUCGGGACGAAAGAGCCUAGUGUGAAUAAUGCUAGGAAGUGACGGUACCGGAAUAGAAAGCCACGGCUAACUACGUGCCAGCAGCCGCGGUAAUACGUAGGUGGCAAGCGUUGUCCGGAAUUAUUGGGCGUAAAGCGCGCGCAGGCGGAUCUGCCAGUCUGUCUUAAAAGUUCGGGGCUUAACCCCGUGAUGGGAUGGAAACUACAGAGCUAGAGUAUCGGAGAGGAAAGUGGAAUUCCUAGUGUAGCGGUGAAAUGCGUAGAUAUACGGAGGAACACCAGUGGCGAAGGCGGAUUACUGGACGAUAACUGACGCUGAGGCGCGAAAGCGUGGGGAGCAAACAGGAUUAGAUACCCCAGUAGUCC